rnacentral:rRNA from 1 species
UACGUAGGGGGCGAGCGUUGUCCGGAUUUAUUGGGCGUAAAGAGCGUGUAGGCGGCUUGGUAGGUCUGCUGUGAAAACUCGAGGCUCAACUUCGAGCUGUCGGUGGAAACUUUCUGGCUAGAGUCCGGAAGAGGAGAAUGGAAUUCCUGGUGUAGCGGUGAAAUGCGCAGAUAUCAGGAAGAACACCCGUGGCGAAGGCGGUUCUCUGGGACGGUACUGACGCUGAGACGCGAAAGCGUGGGGAGCGAACAGG